rnacentral:lncRNA from 1 species
CAGCGAGGAGUAAAGCAAGCUAAAGCCAAAGCAAGCAGAAGAGAAAAAAUCACGGAUUUUAGUGGCAAUACAGAAUAGAAAUAGAAUAGAGAAAAAUCAAAAGUUACUCCUUUGUUCUUUUCAAGCUUUUUAGUUAGACUGACCAAGAAAAAAAGACUCAGGUUACUAAAGUCAGAAAUGAAAGAGGGCAUCACAAAUGCCCUUAAGAUUAAGAAGGGCUAUAAGGGAAUAUUAUGAAUAAUUUUAUGCCAACAAAUUGUAUAACCUAGAUGAAAUGGGCAAAUUCCCAGAAAGAUAAAAUUACCAAACCUUGAGAAGAAUUAGAAAAUCUGAAUAGAUUUUUAACAAGUAAGGAGAUUGGGUUAGUAAUUUAAAAAAACCCCAAAACCCUCCCAACAAAGAAAAGUCGAGGACCAGAUGGUGUCACUGGUGAAUUCUACCUAACAUUUAAAGAAUUAACACCAAUCUUCUCAAACUUCCAAAAAACAAGAGAAGAAAACGCUUCCUAACUCAUUCUAUGAGACUAGCAUUACCAUGACACCAAAGCUAGACAAAGGCAGUGCAAGAAAACUGUAGACCAAUAUUCCUUAUGAACAUAGAUGUAAAAAUUCUCGAGAAAAUACUAGCAAACUGAAUUCAGCAGCAUAUUAAAAGAAUUGCAGAUAUUUGUCACUUAUGAGGAGGAAACUUUCUGAGAAAUGCAUCAUUAGGCAAUUUUGUUGUUGUGUAGACGUCCUAGAGUAUACUUACACAAACCUAGCUGGAUAGCCUACUACACACCUAGUCUGUGUGGUAUAGCCUAUGCUCCUAGGCUACAAACCUGUACAUGUUGCUGCAUUGAAUACUGCAGGCAACUGUAAUACAGCGGUAAGUAUUUGUGUAUUUAAACAUAGAAAAGGUGCAGUAAAAGUAAAGUAUUAUAAUCUCAAGUGAGCACCAUCAUAUAUAACGCUGUUAUGCAGCACAUGACUGUAUAUACCCUGACCAAGUGAGAUUUGUCUUGGGAAUGCAAGCGUACUUCAACAUAUAAAAAUCAAUAUCAUACACCACAUUAAUAGAAUAAAGGGAAAAAACUAUAUGAUUAUCUCAAUUGAUGCAGAAAAAGCAUUUGAUAAAAAAACUAACAGCUUUUCAUGAUAAAAACAGACAGCAAACUAAUAAUAGAAGGGAAUUUUAUCAACUUGAUAAAAGGUAUGAAAAACUCAAAAAGAACAGUAUACUGAGUGUUUUCACCCUAAGAUCAAGAACAAGACAAGGAAGGGCACUCUUGUUACUUCUCUGCAACACUGUACUGGGAUUUGUAGCCAGGACAAUUAGACAAGAAAAAGAAAUAAAAGGCAAGAUUUCAAUGGGAAAGAAUAGACUUUUCAACAAAUGAUGCUGGGACAACUGGAUAUCCACAGGAGAAACAAUGAAGUUGAGCCCCCACCUCCCACCAUAUACAAAAAUUAACUCAAAUGAAUCAAUUAAAUGUAAGAGCUAGAAUCAUAGACGUCUUAGAAGAAAGCAUAGGCAUAGAUCUUCAUUGCCUUGAAUUAGGUUAUGAUCUCUUACUUAUAACACCAAAAGCACAAGCAAUAAAAGAAAAAAUGAAUUAGACUUCAUCAAAACUCAAAACUUUUGUACUUCUUAAGAUACCAUUCAAGAAAGUGAAAAGAUAACCAAAAGAAUGAGAGAAAAUAUUUGCAAAUCAUAUAUCUGAUAAGGGAUAUAUAUAUAUAUAAUAUAUAUGUAUACAUAUAUAUAAAGGACAUGUUGGGACCAGGAGUGGUGGCUCACACCUGUAGUACAAACACUUUGGGAGGCUGAGGUGGGAGGAUUACUUGAGGCCGGGAGUUUGAAACCAGGCUGGACAACGUAGUGAGACCCCCUCUCUACAAAAUAUGAAAAGUCAGCCCAGCUACUUGGGAGGCUGAGGCAGGAGGAUCACUUGAGCCCAGGAGUUCGGGGCUGCAAUGAGCUAUGAUUGUGCCACUGCACUCCAGCCUAGGUGACCAAUUGAGACUCUGUCUCUUUAAAAAAAAAAAAAAGUGUAUAACUCAACAAUAAAAAAGACAAAAAGCCCAGUAAAAAUGGGCAAACUACCUGAAUAGACACUUCUUUAAAGAAGAUAUACAAAUGGCCAAUAAGCAUAUGAAAGAUGUUCAACAUCAUUAGCAGGGAAAUGCAAAUCAAGACUGCAGAGAGAUAUCAUUUCACACCCACUAUGUGGAUAUAAUAAAACAGACAACAAGUGUUGAUGAUGUAGAGAAAUUAGAACCCUCAUACAUUGUUGGGGGGAAUAAAAAAUGGUGUAGCCACUUUGGGAGACAGUUUGGUAGCUCCUCAAAAUGUUAAAAAACAGAGUUAUCAUAUCACCCAGGAAUGCCAUGCCUAGGUAUACACCCAAAAAAGUUGAAAACAUGCCCAUAGAAAAACUUUUACGCAAAUGUUUAUAGAAUUAUUCAUAAUUACCAGAAAGUAGAAAUACCAAAAUAUCCAUAAAUGAAUGAGUGGAUACAUAAAAUAUGGCAUGUUCAUACAAUGGAAUAUUAUUUGCAAUAAGUAGAAUGAAGUAUUAAUACAUCCUGCAACUUGGAUCUACCUUGAAAACAUGCUAAGUGAAAGAACAGAAGACCAGUCACGGGAGACCACAUAUUGUAUGACUUUGUUUAUAUGAAAUAGCCAUUAUACAGAAAUGCAUGGAGAUAGGAAGUAGAGUAGUGGUUGCUAAGGGCUGCAGGGAGGGGGGAAUGGGAAGCAACUGUUAAGGAGUAUGGAUUUCUCUUUGGAGUGAUAAAAAUAUAACACUUGAUAGUGGUUGAUUAUUGCACAAUUCUGUGAAUGCAUUAAAAUCCACUAAAUUGUGCACUUUGAAGGAUGAAUUUUAUGGUUUGUGAAUUAUAUCUCAACAAAGCUGUUAUUAAGAAAAAACUACCAUGGGACUUGAAAGCAGAUUAAGGAAAUAAGUAUUCUUUGUAAUUUUCCAACAUGCUGUUUGUUAGAGGUUCAUUUCAGAACUACCAGUUGUGUUGGAGGGAUAAACUGUGAAGAUCUCUGGUGUUCCUUCAUUUGUGCUUCUAAAAGCUUAUUGAGGACAGGAACCACAUCAGUUUUAUCUGUUUUCUAAGACUUUGGGAGUCCCGUGACAUUAACCAAGAGUCUGCAAUUACCCCUAUGAGCCCCAGAUGCACAAGUCAUUAAAGACCAAGUCCUCACAUCCUUCCUAAUACAGCGCUGCUCACCAGGUUCUUUUCAUUUGCCCUGUUUCAGUCAGACUGGACUGCUUAUUCUCUAUGUUGUUGUUACCACUAUUUCUUUGUUCAAGCUUCUGUUUCUACCCAGAAUGUUUCUCUCUGUCAUCUCUACCUGUUAAAAUCCUACCUACUAUUCCUUAUAUCAUCUCUUAAUCAUAUGUUACUAUUGUCUGGUAUUGUCAUUUUUUAUAACCUUAGUAGACAUGAUUAUUCUUUAUAUGAUCAAUGUUUAUUUAUAGUUGCCCACACAUUUAUUACUUCUUUUUUUUCAUCUUAGAACUUCUAACUGGGAACUCUUUUCUAAUGCCUGAAGCACAAUUUGUAGUAUUGCAUUCAGUGAGGAUCUACUGAUACAGACUCUCAAUUUUGUUUGUUGAAACUAUUCUUAUUUUAAUUCUUGAAAAUUUUCUUGGCAGUUCUUUUCUUUGAGAUGCUUUCUUACACUGUCUUCUGAUCUCUCUCACUGCUGUGGAAAAUCAAUCUAUGGAAAAGCAGUCAAUGCUUCUUUGAAGGGCAUCCCCUCCAUACACACUUUUACAACUUUUUUAUUUGAUUUUUUUUUUUUGCAAUUUCACUAUGAUAUAUUAGAUGACAGUUUCUUUUUGUUUAUCUUGUUUGAGAUGUACUGGGCUCUCAAAUCUGUGGAUAAGUGGUCAGACUGGUGAAACUCACAGCGUUAUCUCUUCUGUUGUUUCCUCUGCUUGGUUUUCCCAGUUCUCUCUUUCUGGGACUUUGAGCAAAUACAUUAGACCUCCUUACUGUAUCCCACACAUCUCUUACCCUUUCCUCAGUAUUUUCUGUCUUCUCCAGGCUGCAUUCUGGAUAAUUUCUUCUGCAUUGACUUUCAGUUCAUUAAUUCUCUCCUUGACUGUGUCCAGUCUGCCACUAAUAGUCCAUAGAAUUUGAAAUUUGGGAUAUCCUAUUUUUCAUUUUUAGGAAUCCUGUUUGGCUCUUUUUCAAAUAUGUUUUUUUCACAUUUUAGUUUCAUGCUCCCUGAAAAUAUUUUUAAGUUUGUCAUUUGUUUCAUUUAACGUGGUAAGCAUAAUUGUUUUUAUUUAUUUAUUUAUUUGAGAUAGGGUUCUUGCUCUGUUGCCCAGGAUGGACUGCAGUGGCAUGAACAUGGCUCACUGCAGCCUCAACCUCCUGGGCUCAUACAGUCUUCCCAGUUUAGCCUCCCAAGUUGCUGGGACUACACCACGCCCAGCUAAUUUUCAAAAAUAUUUUAUAGAGACAGGGUCUUGCCAUGUCAUUCAGGCUGGUCUUGAACUCCCAAGCUCAAGCAAGCCACCAGCCUUGGCCUCCCAAAGUGUCAGAAUUACAGUCGUGAGCCACCAUGCCCAGCUCAUAAUUGUUUUUAAAAGUAGCCUUGAUAAUUCCAGUUUCUAAAGCCUGUGCAGCUCUAUUUGUCUUGUUUGUGGUUUUUCUUGGCCUUUCUUCAUGUUGUCAUAUUCCUUUUUUUUUUUUUUGAGACAAAAUCUCGCCCUGUCACCCAGGCUGGUGUGCAAUGGUGCGACCUCGGCUCACUACAACCCCUGCCUCCCAGGUUCAAACGAUUCUCCUGCCUCACCCUCCUGAGUAGCUAGGAUUAUAGGCGCCCGCCACCACGCCCAGCUAAUUUUUCUAUUUUUUAGUAGAGACGGGGUUUCACCAUGUUGGCCAGGCUGGUGUAAAACUCCUGACCUCGUGAUUUGCCCACUUUAGCCUCCCAAAGUGCUGGGAUUACAGGCGUGAACCACCACGCCCGGCAUGUUAUCAUAUUGUUUUAAGUGCCUAAUAUCUUUGGCGUUUUGCCGUUACCCUGGAGGAAUUAUUUGUGUGGGUUCCCUGAGGCCUGGGAAGGACCUUCCCGUCUCUUCGUCUGCUAGAUUCUUAGGGGCACCAUCAGAUGAUAACUCUAGCCAAGUUAAAGUUUCAGGAGUCCUUGGCCCAAAAAUGCUACAAGUGCCCUGGAUGCCAGUCCACCUGAGGGCUGGCCCGUGGCCACAUUCUCCCAAAGGCUGCUUAUUUUCUUUUUUGAACUUCAGUUUCAUUCCUUAGUCUCAAGGCUUCGGUCUCUGCAUUCCCAGUAGCGCAUGCGCGCGCGCGCGCGCGCGCGUGUGUGUGUGUGUGUGUGUGUGUGUGUGUGUGAAAAUCUGGCUUGUAUUUUUGUAUUUGUCGUGCUGCCCCAAACCAAUAUGGGCAGCGUCUUCCAUGUGAUACCCACCCAGGCAGGUGGGUCCUGGGUUCUGAUCUCUGUCAUUCUGGCCUGAGGGCCAUGGAACAGGACCACAAGUCCAGUGUAUUAGAAAACAUCCUCAUUGCACAAAUGGCUUGUGCUCUGAGACACUCUCCCUACCUCUCUGGGUACAGCUUCUUUUUAGUCUCAAUGUUCUUAGCGGUUGUGUGGGGACAGCCAGCUACAUGGUUGCUCUGAUCCCUGUCCCCUGUUACUCAUGCCCUGUGUAACUCCAGGAUCUGUGACUUGCUUCUAACACAUAGAAUACUAAUGGGAUGUUUGUUUAAUCCAGAUUUUUAGAUGUUUUCAGUGGUUGGGUCAGUCCUAGCUUGCCUGUCAUUACUGGAAAUGAGCAACUUGAUUCCCUUUGAAUCAAAGAACGAUUUAGAGUUGGGGGUUUUUCAUUUCUUUUUUCUUUUUUUACAUUCUCAAAGGAGGUGACUUUUCUUUUUUCCUUAAAUCAGACAUAAAAUAUCUCAAGCAUAUGGAAAAAUACAAAAGAAUUUAAUACACCUGCGUAUUCACCAUUCAGACUGAACAAAUGUUAAUAUUUUACCAUAUUUACUUCAGUUUUUUUUUUUUUUUUUUUUUGAGAUGAAGUCUCGCUCUGCCACCCAGGCUGAAGUGCAGUGGUGCAAUCUCAGCUCACUGCAACCUCCGCCUCCCAGGUUCAAGCAAUUCUCCUGCCUCAGAUUCCCGAGUAGCCAGGAUUACAGGUGCCCACCACCACACCCGGGUAAUUUUUGUAUUUUUAGUAGAGAUAGGUUUCGCCAUGUUGCCCAGGCUAGUCUUGAACUCCUGACCUCAGGAAUUCCUGGGCCUCCCAAAGUGGUGGGAUUACAGGCAUCAGCCACUGCACCUGGCCCAGAUUUUUUUUUUUUUUUUUUUUAAGAAACAUAACAUUGCAGUGUACAGCCCACUGUCUCCUCUUCUCCUUCCUUCCUCAGAGGUAACUGCUGUCAAGUAAAUGUAUACCCCAGGGUGCUUGCAGCCUCAUAGGUCAGAGACUCUCAAAACUUCUUCCCCCAUUUAUUUAUUUAUUUGUUUGUUUGUUUGAGACAGAGUCUCGCUCUAUCACCCAGGCUGGAGUGCAGUGGUGCAAUCUCGGCUCACUGCAACUUCCACCUCCUGGGUUCAAGGGAUUCUCCUGCUUCAGCCUCCCAAGUAGCUGAGAUUACAGGUGUCUGCCACCAAGCCCGGCAAAUUUUUGUAUUUUUAGUAGAGACGGAGUUUCACCAUGUUGGCCAGGCUGGUUUCAAAUGACUGACCUCAAGUGAUCCACCCACCUCAGCCUCCCAAAAUGCUAGGAUUACAGGCGUGAGCCACAGCACCUGGCCCUCUAUGUUUUUAUGAGUGGCAUUAUUUGAUAUCAGUUUAUGAUUUUAAAAUUUAUACUGCGUGUACCUGUUUUUCACCAUUUUAACACAUUUUUGGAGGUUUAUCAUAUUUGAUAUAUUUAUGUCCUCUUUAUCAUUUUAAUAGUAAUAGUAGGCUAUUCUGUUUAUCCGUUUUAUUUCUAUGUGUUCAUCCCCCUAUACAACCACUGGUGUGUGGCAAGCACUUACUAAAUGUCAGCUGUUAUUGAUGGACAUUUAGAAACAAUUGUUUCUAUUUGUUUUUAUAAACAGUGGUUGGUUAACCAUCCUUAUCAAUGUCUUUGUGCCCGCAUGCAGGAGACCUCUCUAGCAUAGGCUCCUGGAAGUCGGAUUGCUGGGUCCCAGGACAGACAUUCAAACUUCGCUCCCCAAAAUGGCUAUUCCAAUUUAUAUUCCCAGCAGCAGUAUGAGUUUCUUUUCCUGAAAAUCCUCACUGGCACAUGGCAUUACCAGACUUCUUUUUAAAAUAUGAAAUAUUGAGUACAUAAAGACAUACGGAGGGCUGAGCGUGGUGGCUUUCCCCUGUAAUCCCUGCAUUUUGGGAGGCUGAGGCAGGCAGAUCUUUUGAGCCCAGGAGUUCGAGACCAACCUGGGCAACAUAAACCUCUACAAAAAAAAAAUACAAAAAUUAGCUGGGUGUGGUGGCACACGCCUGUAGUCCCAGCUACUUGGGAGGCCAAGGUGGGAGGAUCACCUGAGCCUGGGAAGGUCGAGGCUGCAGAGAGCUGAGAUUGUGCCACUGCACUCCAGCUUGGAUGACAAAGCAAGAUCCUGCCUGCAAAAAAAAAAAGACAAGACACGUGGGGAGUAAGAUAAGGAGUUUCCAUAUACUGUCUUUCCAGCUUUAGAAAUAAAACUGCAAAUACAAAUGGAGCCCUUCCUGCACUCCCUGACUUCAUUUCCCUCCUUUGCCCUCCCCGAUGAACGUCAUCCCGAGUUUCAUGAUUUUUAUUCCCAGGCAGGUUUUCGUAGUUUAUAUUAUUUACACAUGUGUCUAUCCAUAAGUAUGCCUUACAACAUUGGCAAAACGAUUUUAAACUACAUGAACUUUAUACCAGUAAUAACACACCCUGUACAACUUUCUGUUGAUUUUUUUUUUAUACUGAACUUCAGCUCUUGAGGUUUAUCUAUGCUGAUGAUGACAGUGACAAUGAUGAUGUCAUCAAACACUUAUAUAGUGCUUGUAUGCCAGGCACUCCUCAUCACAGCUAUGAAUCGUGGUCCACCAAAUAAGUGCAACAGAGUUUAUCUAUUUUUAAAUCUUUGCCAUCACUACUAAUGUUGCAGCGAGUGUUUUCUUGUACAUACAUCCUUGCGGAAGUGUUUGGGUAUAUACCUACGGUAGAGUUCCUUGGUUAUGUGGUACCAGCAUCUUCACCUACCAACUCUGUCCAAAUGGUUACCCCAAGUGUUUGUAUGACCCUGUCAGUAUGUGCGAGGGUUUUUUACUCCACAUUUCCUCCCAAACUUUUUUUUUUUUUUUUUUGACAGAGUCUGGCUCUGUCGCCCAGGCUAAAGUGCAGUGGUGUAUUCGCGGCUCACUGCAACCUCCGCCUGCUGGGUUCAAGCGAUUCUCCCGCCUCAGCCUCCCGAGUAGCUGGAAUUACAGGUGCAUGCCACCACGCCCAGCAAAUUUUUUUAUUUUAGUAGAGAUGAGGUUUCACCAUGUUGUCCAGGCUGGUCUCGAACUCCUGACCUCAAGUGAUCCGCCCACCUCGGCCUCCCAAAGUGCUGGGAUUACAGGCGUGAGUCACUGUGCCCAGCCUCCCUGGAAACUUCAUUGUGUUCAAUUUAAGUUUUUCCUUUCUCCUAGGUAUAAAAGAGAACCUCAUCAUUUUCAUUUGCAUUUCCUUGAUUACCGAUGAGGUUGAUUUUCUUGGUCUUUUGUUCCUUCUUCUGUCAAAUGCUUAUUUAAAUUUUCCCCAAUUUUUCUACUGGAGUUUUUGGCCCUUAUUAUAUAGACAUAUAUGGAUUAUUAUAUAUACAUAUAUUAUGUAUUA